UCUCAACAAACUCAACUAGCACAAAAGUCUCAGCAGUCACGUCUUCUGUCAGGCUCAUCAAAUGGAUUCAGACUAUGAAAAUGUUUCAGUUGCUUCAGAUGAAAACGGCUUUCAAUACAACGGCAACUCCACUGAAGAGCAAGAAAAUGAGAGGAAAGUCUGUCCUCCUAAAUGGACUAAAGUUCAUCUGAUUGUUUUGGCUGUUUCUCUGGUUUUUGCUCUUGGGGGUCUCUGUAUUCUGGGUAUACUGUAUGCCCGGCUUUCAGUGAAACUGUCUGCCCAGGAGACUAAGAGCACACUCAUGGUGAGAGAGCUUACUGACAACUACACCAGAGUUAGAGAACAUCUCCGCACUAAAGACAUCAUGGUGAGAGAGCUUACUGACAACUACACCAGAGUUAGAGAACAUCUCCGCACUAAAGACAUUCCAGAUUCACACAUAUCUGUAUCUGGAUCAGUAAUGGAAGGAGAGGUUAAGGAACUUAUGGCUAACUACACCAGAGUUAGAGAACAACUGUCCUUUUACGAAGCAUUCACAGCUCAGUCUUUGAACUGUGAAAUGAUCUUGACAGUUUGGGGUGGAAAGUUGUACUACUUCAGCUCUUAUAAACUCAACUGGUCAAGCAGUCGUGCUUUCUGUGUUUCAAAAGGAACUGAUCUGGUGAUCAUAACCAGC